UACAGAGGUGGCAAGCGUUGUUCGGAAUUACUGGGCGUAAAGGGCGCGUAGGCGGCCAUCUAAGUCAGACGUGAAAUCCCCCGGCUUAACCUGGGAACUGCGUCUGAUACUGGAAGGCUUGAGUAUGGGAGAGGGAUGUAGAAUUCCAGGUGUAGCGGUGAAAUGCGUAGAUAUCUGGAGGAACACCGGUGGCGAAGGCGGCAUCCUGGACCGGUAUUGACGCUGAGGCGCGAAAGCUAGGGGAGCAAACGGG
rnacentral:rRNA from 1 species